rnacentral:rRNA from 1 species
GACGAACGCUGGCGGUAUGCUUAACACAUGCAAGUCGAACGAGAAGUCUUUUAUUGAACCUUCGGGGGAUAUAAGAGACAGACAGUGGCGAACGGGUGAGUAACGCGUGGGCAACCUACCUAUCGGAGCGGGAUGGCCUCGAGAAAUCGGGAGUAAAACCGCAUAACACGGAUAUAUCGCAUGAUGAAUCCGUCAAAACUCCGGUAGCCGAUAGAUGGGCCCGCGUCUGAUUAGCUAGUUGGUAAGGUAAGGGCUUACCAAGGCAACGAUCAGUAGCCGGUCUGAGAGGGCGAACGGCCACACUGGAACUGAGACACGGUCCAGACUCCUACGGGAGGCAGCAGUGGGGGAAU